rnacentral:rRNA from 1 species
UACGUAGGGGGCAAGCGUUGUCCGGAAUCAUUGGGCGUAAAGCGCGUGUAGGCGGCCAGAAAAGUCCGCUGUGAAAACUCGAGGCUCAACUUCGAGCUGUCGGUGGAAACUUUCUGGCUAGAGUCCGGAAGAGGAGAAUGGAAUUCCAGGUGUAGCGGUGAAAUGCGUAGAUAUCUGGAGGAACACCGGUGGCGAAGGCGGCGUUCUGGACUGCAACUGACACUGAGAAACGAAAGCCAGGGUAGCAAACGGG